rnacentral:rRNA from 1 species
AUACGGAGGUUCCAAGCGUUAUCCGGAAUCAUUGGGUUUAAAGGGUCCGCAGGCGGUCAAUUAAGUCAGAGGUGAAAGCCCAUCGCUCAACGAUGGAACUGCCUUUGAUACUGGUUGACUUCAGUUAUACGGAAGUAGAUAGAAUAAGUAGUGUAGCGGUGAAAUGCAUAGAUAUUACUUAGAAUACCGAUUGCGAAGGCAGUCUACUACGUAUAUACUGACGCUGAGGGACGAAAGCGUGGGGAGCGAACAGGAUUAGAAACCCUAGUAGUCC